GCCUUUGUGGUAGAAUUUCAACACACUCGGCGCGUAUUCGAGAGGUCCGAGGUUCGAGUCCCGGCGAGGGCA
rnacentral:tRNA from 1 species